UACAGAGGGGGCAAGCGUUAUUCGGAAUUAUUGGGCGUAAAGUGCGCGUAGGCGGCCUGGCAAGUGGAAGGUGAAAUCCCUCGGCUUAACCGAGGAACUGCCUCCCAAACUGCUUGGCUUGAGACCGGGAGAGGUGAGUGGAAUUCCCAGUGUAGCGGUGAAAUGCGUAGAUAUUGGGAGGAACACCAGUGGCGAAGGCGGCUCACUGGACCGGUACUGACGCUGAGGAGCGAAAGCGUGGGGAGCGAACAGG
rnacentral:rRNA from 1 species